rnacentral:misc_RNA from 1 species
GAUGAAGAACGUAGCGAAAUGCGAUAAGUAAUGCGAAUUGCAGAAUUCCAGUGAGUCAUCGAAUCUUUGAACGCACAUUGCGCCCUUUGGUAUUCCGAAGGGCAUGCCUGUUCGAGCGUCAUUAUCACCCCUCAAGCCCUCGGCUUGGUGUUGGACGGUUUGGUGGAGGCCCCCUCGGGGGCUCCUGCCCCUCCCAAAGACAAUGACGGCGGCCUCGUUGGACCCCCGGUACACUGAGUUCUUCACGGGACACGUAUCGGACACAUGGGUUUACGGGACACGGUCUGCCUCCCCUCAGGGAGAAUCUUUCUAAGGUUGACCUCGGAUCAGGUAGGGAUACCCGCUGAACUUAAGCAUCUCAAUAGCGGAGGA